ACAAUUGUAUUAGCAGCGCUUACCUCCGACUCAUUGACGACAAAAUUACGCCGCGAAUGCUUUUGAAUCAGCACUUGUGCAGACGACAUGCUCGCGAAGUAGGUAUCUUCGAAGAGAGCCCACUCCUCUCUGAUAUCCCCUUCGCUUGUAGACGCAGACAACAUCUCGAUAUCCGUCUGUAAUGCAUCGAAUUCAUCGUAUAUAGGCACUGUAUUGUCGAAUCUUAAUUGUAACUCGGCAAGCUGCAAAUCACUUAAUUGCGGUUUGGCUGCUAGAUUCGAAACGAACUUUUGAAAUGUAAUAAGUUUGCCUUUAAUAACCCCGCGCUUGUAAUUUAGUUUCCUUAAAUCUUGUUCAUUAGACAUUGUGAAUAAAGGUAUAAAGUAACAACCCUACUCAAAUAAAAUAGCAAUAAUAUGAAUUUAAACAAAAUUUGCUCUGCGAAAUUGCCAGGCGUUUAAUCUUAAUGCAAUAUGGAUCGGAGGUGCAAUAAAAUUAUGUAAUCACUUAAUUACCUUGUUUACUUCCUCCCGGCACAAUGCAGUUUGCUAUAGAAAUCGAUUGACUAACGUGUUCACGUGCGGUUAUUUUAGUUUUAAAUUGAAAUUAAGCUAGUGAAAUGUUUAAUUAAUUACUAUUUUGAUUAAUGUACAGUUAGGUAUCAAGUUUGAAGUGAAAUUGUGAAAUUAAAUCUUAUGUAUUACUAUGAACUGUGUUAUGAGGUUAUAUCUGCCUACAAUUAUGAAUACCGUUAAUGAAUACUAUUGAAUUGAAUAUCUACUUGCUAAACUGAAUCAAAUAAUGGCAAUGAAGACUAUGAAUCUACUUUCUGCACUAGAUGGAAAAUUGAUCCCCACUGGAUGCUCCUGGACUGGUCUGGUUGGUGCUGGAUGGGCUGAAUUCCGUAACUGACUCCUGGUUACGGCUGGAUUCCCUCUGAAAUGGGAUGCUCCGUGUGUCCGUCGCUGCUUUGUCCUGACUGAUGGGACGCAAUGAAUAUCAGCUCUGGAACUUGCACGUAGCUGGAUGUGCCCUGCGCCAACCUGGAUGACCCACGGCUUCACUGGAGAAGGUCCGUUGAAUAGAUGGAGCUCGACUCGAUGCCACAAUCUUGCCUUCUCGCAAUUCAGAGGCUUCGUAAGGACCAUGUAAAAUCUUCGCUGGUCUCAGGUGUUGUAAAGGUGGUGAAAUAAUAAGUGGACUGUAGUAUAACGCUGGUUUACUCUCAAAAUGACAAAAAUACAAAAAGUGGCAAAGUGGAGUGUCGUUGGGAUUCAAGAGAUGACAAAGUAAGUUUUUGAAAGCUCUAUAACUGUCUAACUGUCAAAGCUUUGAAUAUAAAAAUUGCCAUAGUUAAAUUUGAAACAUAGAGAGAUUGAAUUAAGAUUGGAGUUAUACAUUUCAUUGAAUAUUUUAAUUAAAAAAUAGACAAUUUGAAUAACAUUAAUAAUUAUGAUUAUUUGUUUACAUAAAAUUAAAUUAUAUUAAAAAUUGUGAA